CUGGUUCUAGACCCUUGAGGAAUUGCCACGUUGUCUUUCACAAUGGUUGAGUUUUGUUAUAAUUUUAAAUCUCUCUUGAUCUCCCUUUUAACUCCAUUAUAACACCUUUUCUGGUCUUUAAAAAUUAUGCAGAGAUACAUACUGCAUCCUAUUCUGUAUUUAGGUUGGCUGGGAGAGUUUUAGGCAGAAAACUUGCAAUUUUUCCACUAAGUUUUGCUGAUGGAAUUACAGAAAUUCUCUUUCUUUGUUACCAAAUGUGAGCCAUAAGACUAGAACCCUGGCUGAUGGCAUGGCAUCAACUUUCAUGGGGCUACAUAACCACUAUAAUUUAAUGAAUAGCAUUCCUGUGGACAUGAAUCAAACAGGAUACUUAAUUUGAUUACUUAUCAAUUGUCACAAUUCUUUCAUUUUAGGUGAUAUGGCUGGCUUAUUGGUAUCACCAAUACAUUCUUUCUACACCUCUAUCCUGUUUUUUACAUCCCAAAAUAUAAAAUAAACAUGAAAAAAUUAUUGGACAGUUGCUAUGGAGAACAAGAUUUUUCUAUAUAUCUUUGUAAUAGAAUUGCCCAGCAAAGAAUUGUGCCUGGGCAUUUUUUUUUUUUUUCAUUUGGAGCAAUUAUAUGGAACAUCCCUUAGGUUUGGUUUUGUGUUUGUAUCAUAAUACAUAGCCAAGGUGUUGACACUGUGCCUAUGUGGAGUCCAGAUAUCAUUCUGCUGUUAAUGACUAUAACAUGAUGUGAAGGGUGAAACCAGAAAGUUCACUUUUGCAGUCUGAAAGCUGCUGCCAACAGACGGGGAUAACAGAGCAAAGCUUGCUUCCAGCCUCCAUUGUUUCUGCUGCCAGAACAUUCUUCUUCCAUUACUUCAUAUGGACCAGAUAGGACCAAAGGUGCUCUGAAGAUAUCCCCAUGUUUCCUACUAAUAAAAAGAGCAGGAUAUCAACUUAAACAUUUAGUGCAACCACAUAGUAUGUGUUAAAAACUUGCUAGGAUAUUUAGCUUUGUAAAUUACAGCAGCUUCUCAAACUUUACUGCAUCUGCAAAUCCUUGGGAAUUUAUGGACCUGAGGUGGCACCCAGAUAUUCUGCACAUCCAACAAGUUCCCAGGAGAUGCUGAUGCUGCUGGUCUGUGACCAAACUUGUGUAGCAAGGAACUGAAGCAUAAAGCUGAAGUGACCCUGAUGCCAGGUCUAGUAACAAUACGAACAAUUUAUCUCUGACCCAUAGAGUUGACCAUAGAGUUGAAUACAUUCUGUGUCUUAGUUAACCUCCUAAAUAUUUGCUGUUGGCCAGGGGGAGGAGCUGCUGGUGACAGGGGAAUGACUGGACUUGGUCUAGAGGGUAUGUGGAAUGGUGCUGGGAUAGCUCCUAUACUCCCAUAAUUCCUUAAGCUGUAUCAGUUCAUGAAAUCAUUUGAUUUAAUAGUCAAUUUAAAAUGUUAGCUCUUAGAUUAAAUUAGUUUAGCUAAUUGGUUUGUUCAAAACAGGAAACUGCUGAUAGGAGAGAGGGGUUGAGAGAAGCAUGGGAUGAGACUAAGAGUUUAAGAACUGAGGAAAAUGAGGAAAGAUAUUUUGGAGUAUAUGACAUUUCAGAGAAUAAACAACUUGCAAGGGACAAAGGACAGUUCAGUAGAGAAUGAGAAUGAGGUUUGGCUGACCCAGUGGGGAUUAGGGUAUGUGGGCAGCCAGCUUGGAGUAGUUAGUCCUGGUACAGAUGAAUAACAUCACUGAUGACCAGGUCAGAAUGUACAUUCCAUUGGUGGUGACCCAACUGCAACAGCAUAAUUUAAAAAAAUAAAA